AUAUUUUAAACAAGACCGAAAAUUUGAGAGUGAGCCGGAUGAUAUAUAUUGGUAUGGAGUGACUGUCCUAUUUCAUAAUUAACCCAUAUAUAUUAUGAAAACUAUCAGUUACUGCAUUCCUAGGAGUGCAAAUGUGAACUAUAUGGAUCUAUGGAUGGAUCAAAAUAAUCCAACAGGAAGUACAAGUAAUCUCCAGGCUACUAAAUGGGAGAAGCAUUACUUUGGAGUUAAUUUUGAUAAAUUUGCUUUGGUGAAGUCCAUAGCUGAUUUUUUGAACUUCUUGAGCUGAGUAUUCGAUUGGUCCUUUUCCUUGUGGUUUAGGUAAUUUCUGCUAAUGUUUGUGUUUGUGUCGGUUUGUUUGAAGAUUUGAUGCAUCUGAGCCUUCAUGGUCUAAUAAUGAUUACAUCAAUAAAAUUAUGUGAUUUUAGUGACCUUGCCUACGACAUCGCUGGGUAGAGCAUUUUGAUGUACAACAUGAUGCAGCUAAGAAAAUGACAAUCUUCAUUCAUAAAUUACUCACUCAGAGAAAAAUUAUUUUUUUUAGGUAUCAAGAAAGUUUAAUGUCAGACUCGGAUACUUGAAUUUAUAUAUAAUUAAGUUAUUAUGAUUCUGACAAUUCUACCUAAGAUUCGCCUUUUCAGAGACAGAUCUAGCAUCUGAUAUCAGUGGGGAUGAAAAUUAAAUGCCUUAUCCAUCAGAGUGUUGGGACACUUUGUGGUUAUUUGUUGAACUUUUAGAUGAAUCCAAUGGAUUUUCUAUGCGUUUCUUUUAAUUUUAUUGCUGAAACGAAGAUAUUUAUAUUGCCCAUGACAUUCAAUUACUGAAUAUGUUACCCCCAUAAGAUUAGAUUAUGUAUUGCAAUAUCAGUAGAGCAGAGAAGAAUGCUUAUGUUUCUGCUAUCAAUAAUUUUUUCUCUGUUUUUCAAGUAUUAUUUGGAAGCGAAUGUUUUAGGUUUAUUCUUGAGGAAAUGUAACAUGUUUAUGGCUAGUACAUAAUUACAUAUAUUGAUAUAGACAUAUAGCUGAGUGUUGUGAUUGUAGAAUUUUUUGUAACGUACAUGGCACAAUUGAAAGAUUGUUCUCCGAGGGAACUGCAGACUCGUAAUAGUUUUGAAUUGAUAUAACGAGAAGCUUAUAUGAUGGUACUGGGAAUGGUUUCACCCAGUGUUCUUGUUUAAUUUGUGGGUUUGAGGAUAAUAGAAUCAUGAAUUGUUGACAAGAGGACUGAAAGACGGUUAUCAAUUAUCAUUAAUCUCUCAAUUCUACCCAGGCCAGUCACUUCCCUCUCCCUUUUAGGAGUUAUGAACAAAGAAGCAUUUGUUGUUUUUGAGUUUUAUGCUCAUGCAUUCCAAGUUGUUCCAACUCGUCUCUGAAAUAUGAGAUCAGAGGCUCUGAACAAGAUUCCGCCACAUACGAGUUUCCACACCUGUAAACCAGUCAAGUAUGAAGUACCCAGCUGCUUUAUUAUGUCAGAUAACUAUUAUAGCAUCAGAUUUUUGCAUGUUUUCCGUGGUCUUUACAGAGUUGAACUUCUGCAUCUUUUAUCUUACUCAUCAUACAGCUUUUUUCAUUAGCAAAGAUCAAUGGCAGAUAUCUUUUACUCCUACAUAUCUGUAGACUCUCUCCAUCAAUUUUUUAGUUUAUAAACUAAAUAAGUCAUGUUUCUUUACUAAAUUUAGUAUAAAUGUCUCUUUGCAAUUAGCCUGGAUAAGUAAAUGAUUCUGGGUCCGCCCUUGCCAUCAACCUCUUGUUACCGAGAGAAGAGGUUAUCACUUAGGCUACAAUACUGCUGAGGCCUGAGGGCAACGUCUAUGAUUCGUUUAGGUAGGGUUGGAACUUGCUCAUUCUUGCUAGUCAUUUAGAGAAUGCAGGCUCAAAUACAAAGCCCUAACCAUUGCUUUCACAUUAGAGAUUGACUUGCGCCAUAUGUUCUAUGCGAGUUCCUCUAUAGUAAUCUAGAGGAAUUAAGCAACCAGCAGUUUACUGAAGAUAACAAUGUAUUCACAGAUAUUUCUUUUGGACUCGGAGUUUGUAAGUAUCUAUUCUUUUGUAAUCGUUACGCCUGAUGCAGAGUGUUUCAACCUUAAACAUCGAAACUUCAAGAUUCGAUCAUGCAUGACAUACUACCUGAUUCCUUUUAAUACAGUAAUUUUAUGGAGUUGA